ACAACGUUGGAACAGUCGGUCUACCGAGCAAUAUCACCAGCUCAGUGGAAGAUAUUCCUUACGUCCA
rnacentral:pre_miRNA from 1 species